GAAGCAAAUUUCGACAAUUGAUAAUUUGAUCAAUUGGUUAAUUGAUAAUUUUGCUCAAAGAAAAGCUUGGAAAAUAAAAUUAUUGAAAAAAUGUGUUAUUGUAUUGAAAUAAAAAGUAUAAAAAUAUCUAAGGUUUUUUUAGAAUGUCACAAUUGUCUUUCCUAGUCAUAGGAACCAAAAUUCCUCACUACAUGCUCUGCUCACAAUGUCAUUCAUUUCUUACAUAUUCAAAUGCACUCCCCUUUCAAUAUGUUUUCACAAACACACCAACACAAACAAACAAACAAAACCUUAUAUCCGUACAUUUCACUUGGAAGCUCUUGUUCAUUCCCUUUCAUUCAUCUGUUCAUGUUCCACAUGUCCAAUAUCCAUUUGUAUUUCUGUUUCUACUCUGAUUUCCUAUUCAAUCCAGUUGUAAAUUCAUGUUUGACAGUCUGAUUAGAUUGAGUUCUGAAAAUCAUGAUUAUAAUUUUGCAAUGUUGAUAAUCAGCCAACAAUGAUAUUGUCUAGUGGAGGGACUGCUUCUUGAUGGUUCUACAUAACCCUGGGCAUCAUCUCUUUGUUAGGCUCCUAAUUCUGGCUAUUAUAACAAAGUUGAAUUUCCAUUAUUAAGAUCACUAGAAAAUACAAUCUCCUUGUGAGAUUUGGGCCCAAAGGAAGUCUUUUAUUACUGCUUGUGUAUGUAUGUGUGUGUGUGUGUGUGUGUGUGUGUGUGUGUUAUAUUUCUGAACAAAUAUUAAAAAAAACUGUUUAAAAUUUUUCUAAACAGUUUCCAUGAUGGUCUUGACUUCUGGGAAUUGUCCUCAUUUCAGAU
rnacentral:lncRNA from 1 species